CCUACGGGUGGCAGCAGUGAGGAAUAUUGGUCAAUGGGCGGAAGCCUGAACCAGCCAAGUCGCGUGAGGGAAUAAGGCCCUACGGGUCGUAAACCUCUUUUGCCGGGGAGCAAGGUCCGGCACGCGUCCCUGCCCGUAUAGUACCCGUGGAAAAAGCCUCGGCUAACUCCGUGCCAGCAGCCGCGGUAAUACGGAGGAUGCGAGCGUUAUCCGGAUUUAUUGGGUUUAAAGGGAGCGUAGAUGGGUUGUUAAGUCAGUUGUGAAAGUUUGCGGCUCAACCGUAAAAUUGCAAUUGAUACUGGCAGUCUUGAGUACAGUUGAGGUAGGCGGAAUUCGUGGUGUAGCGGUGAAAUGCUUAGAUAUCACGAAGAACCCCGAUUGCGAAGGCAGCUUACUAAACUGCGACUGACAUUGAUGCUCGAAAGUGUGGGUAUCAAACAGGAUUAGAUACCCGAGUAGUC
rnacentral:rRNA from 1 species